rnacentral:rRNA from 1 species
UACGGAGGAUGCGAGCGUUAUCCGGAUUUAUUGGGUUUAAAGGGUGCGUAGGCGGAUUGAUAAGUCAGUGGUGAAAUUCUACAGCUUAACUGUAGACUUGCCGUUGAUACUGUUAGUCUUGAGUGUGGAUGAAGUGUGCGGAAUGUGUGGUGUAGCGGUGAAAUGCUUAGAUAUCACACAGAACACCGAUUGCGAAGGCAGCACACUAAGUCAUUAUUGACGCUGAGGCACGAAAGUGUGGGGAUCAAACA